rnacentral:rRNA from 1 species
UAAUACUGGGGGGGCAAGCGUUGUCCGGAUUCAUUGGGCGUAAAGGGUUCGUAGGCGGGCUAAUAAGUCAAAAUUGAAAGCCCACGGCUUAACCGUGGAGGUGGUUUUGAUACUGUUAGUCUUGAGUGAGGUAGGGGUAAGCGGAAUUCCUGGUGUAGCGGUGAAAUGCGUAGAUAUCAGGAGGAACACCGAUAGCGAAGGCAGCUUACUGGGCCUAUACUGACGCUGAGGAACGAAAGCGUGGGGAGCAAACAGGAUUAGAGACCCUGGUAGUCCACGCCGUAAACGAUGAGCACUUGGUGGUGGGGGAUUCGACCCCUUCGCUGCCGGAGUUAACGCAUUAAGUGCUCCGCCUGGGGACUACGACCGCAAGGUUG